AAGUCGGAAUUGCUAGUAAUCGCGGAUCAGCAUGCCGCGGUGAAUACGUUCCCGGGCCUUGUACACACCGCCCGUCACACCAUGGGAGUCGGUAACACCCGAAGCCUGUAGUCUAACCGCAAGGAGGACGCAGUCGAAGGUGGGAUUGAUGACUGGGGUGAAGUCGUAACAAGGUAUC
rnacentral:rRNA from 1 species